UGAGGAAUAUUGGUCAAUGGGCGGGAGCCUGAACCAGCCAAGUCGCGUGAGGGAAGACGGCCCUAUGGGUUGUAAACCUCUUUUGCCGGGGAGCAAAGCGCCGCACGUGUGCGGCUUGGAGAGUACCCGGAGAAAAAGCAUCGGCUAACUCCGUGCCAGCAGCCGCGGUAAUACGGAGGAUGCGAGCGUUAUCCGGAUUCAUUGGGUUUAAAGGGUGCGUAGGCGGCGUCUUAAGCCGGCGGUGAAAUCGCGGGGCUCAACCCCACCGAGCCGUCGGAACUGGGAUGCUCGAGUGUCGGCGAGGCAUGCGGAAUGCGCGGUGUAGCGGUGAAAUGCAUAGAUAUCGCGCAGAACCCCGAUUGCGAAGGCAGCGUGCCAGCCGCCCACUGACGCUGAGGCACGAAAGCGCGGGUAUCGAACAGGAUUAGAUACC
rnacentral:rRNA from 1 species